AGGCGGCCCUAGCGCCAUUUUGUGGGGACGAAGCGGUGGCCGUGCUGCUGUCGGGACCUUCCCUGCUCGGUGUCCGUGUCGCGCUUCCCAGCCGCGGCCUAGCGGUAAGGAAAGAUGUCUGAGUACAUCCGGGUAACGGAAGACGAGAAUGACGAGCCUAUUGAAAUCCCAUCCGAAGAUGACGGUACCGUGCUGUUGUCCACGGUGACGGCCCAGUUUCCAGGGGCAUGUGGGCUGCGCUACAGGAACCCGGUGUCUCAGUGUAUGAGAGGUGUCCGGCUGGUGGAAGGGAUUCUGCAUGCCCCCGAUGCUGGCUGGGGAAAUCUGGUGUAUGUUGUCAACUAUCCAAAAGAUAACAAAAGGAAAAUGGAUGAGACAGAUGCUUCAUCGGCAGUGAAGGUGAAAAGGGCAGUCCAGAAAACAUCAGAUCUAAUCGUACUGGGCCUCCCGUGGGAAACAACCGAACAGGAUCUCAAAGAAUAUUUUAGUACCUUCGGAGAAGUUCUCAUGGUGCAGGUCAAGAAAGACAUUAAAACUGGUCAUUCAAAAGGAUUUGGCUUUGUUCGCUUUACGGACUAUGAAACACAAGUGAAAGUAAUGUCCCAGCGACAUAUGAUAGAUGGGCGAUGGUGUGACUGUAAACUCCCCAACUCCAAGCAAAGCUUAGAUGAGCCUUUGAGAAGCAGAAAGGUGUUUGUGGGGCGGUGCACAGAGGACAUGACAGCUGAGGAGCUGCAGCAGUUCUUCUGUCAGUAUGGAGAGGUGGUGGACGUCUUUAUCCCCAAACCAUUCAGGGCUUUUGCCUUUGUUACAUUCGCAGACGAUCAGGUGGCCCAGUCUCUCUGCGGCGAGGACCUGAUCAUUAAAGGCAUCAGCGUGCAUAUCUCCAAUGCAGAACCUAAGCACAAUAGCAGUAGACAGUUAGAAAGAAGUGGAAGAUUUGGUGGUAAUCCAGGUGGCUUUGGGAAUCAGGGUGGGUUUGGUAACAGUAGAGGGGGUGGAGCUGGCUUGGGAAAUAAUCAGGGUAGCAAUAUGGGGGGAGGGAUGAACUUUGGUGCUUUCAGCAUUAACCCAGCAAUGAUGGCUGCUGCCCAAGCAGCCCUGCAGAGCAGUUGGGGUAUGAUGGGCAUGCUGGCCAGUCAGCAGAACCAGUCAGGCCCAUCAGGCAAUAACCAAAGCCAGGGAAACAUGCAGAGAGAGCCAAACCAGGCUUUCGGUUCUGGGAAUAACUCUUACAGUGGGUCUAAUUCUGGUGCGGCCAUUGGUUGGGGCUCAGCCUCGAAUGCUGGCUCAGGCAGUGGGUUCAAUGGGGGAUUCGGCUCAAGCAUGGAUUCCAAGUCUUCUGGCUGGGGAAUGUAGGUUGUGGGUUGUGGGUGUCUGGUUGGUUGGUUGGUUGGUUGGUUGGUUGGUAGGUAUGGAAUGGUGGGAAUUUAAAUUUUUCUAAACUCAUGGUAAGUAUAUUGUAAAAUACGUAUGUACUAAGGAUUUUCCAAAUUGGUUUGUUCAGUGUGGAGUAUAUUCAGCAGUAUUUUUGACAUUUUUCUUUCAAAAAAAGAGGAAGAGCUAAAGGAAUUUUACAAGUUUUGUUACAUAAAAGGUUGAACUAGUGAGUGGCUGAAAGGGAGCUGCUGUUUGCCUGAAUGGUAAACCAACACUACAAUUGAUAGCAAAAGGUUUCUCCUGUACUCGUUUAUCCCUGGACUUGUUAAGAGAAUUCUUUGCAUGUUCAAAGUGGAAACCAUUGGUUAGAACUGCAUCUUUUUCUCCUUGUUUUAAUUUGAACCCCACCACAUGGGUUUUCCCUGGGAACCUCUCCUGGGAGGUGACGGACGGUGUCUCGCGGUGUUUGGUUCUUUUGGUUUUGGUUUUUAACGCUUGUCUCCCCUCACAUGCAAAAGUACAAUAUGAAGCCUUCAUUUAAUCUCUGCAGUUCAUCUCAUUUCAAAUGUUUAUGGAAGAAGCACUUCAUUGAAAGUAGUGCUGUAAAUACUCUGCCAUAGGAAUGCUUCUGUCACACGCUUUCUCAUCCGAGAGUUCGCCAUCACACUGCACAGGCUGCGUCUUGACGCCCUGAAUGCAAAGAAUUCAUAGCAGUUAAUUCCCCUUUUUUGACCCUUUUGAGAUGGAACUUUCAUAAAGUUUCUUGGCAGUAGCUUAUUUCGCUUCAAAUAAACUUAUUUGAAAAGUUGUCUCAAGUCAAAUGGAUUCAUCACCUGUCAUGCAUUGACACCUGAUACCCAGACUUAAUUGCUAUUUGUUCUUGCAUUGUCCAAAGUGAAAAAGGUUUUUAUUAUUGUUGUUUUUUUAAUCUAGUAUUUAAUAAGUCUGGGUGAGCGCACCUAAAAUGGUAAGCAGUGCCCUCCGCUUUGUCUUGGUGCCCCUGUGCGUUUGGGUGAUGUUCUAUUUUCUUGGCCUGUAAAAUGGCCAUUGGAGAAUGGAGCCCUCUAAAAAACGGUUGGGGGAGUGGGCAGAACAACACUGAUCGUCCCCAUGCUUGUUUGUGGCCAAGCACACGCUUGAAAGGAGGAAUGAUCCGCACCUUUCUGUUCGGGAUUUGAAAAGUGGAAUUAAUUGCAAUAGGGAUAACGGUAGAAGAAACCACAAAUUACCUUGUGCCUGAAAUCCAUUAAGAAGCCUGAUAGCUUUAAGACCGGUUGGGUGGGUAGUCUGUGCAGUGUUAAGUGAAGUGGGCUUUACCCUCUGAGGAGGAAUAUAGUCAUUCCUGUUGAUAAACUCACUCGCACAACUCAGAUUAGACUCUGGCGAUGCACUGUUAAGACUGUAAAAGCAAUAAUAGAUGGAUUUGUACUUUUUCUGUAACUGCUGACCCCUUGAGAAUUGAGGGGGCCUGUUUUUUAGUUGGAAGAAUGUGACAGCUUUUGUGUUGCUACUUUACCUGAUGUCCUUACCAAAUUAGAUUCUGAUAAAUAGGUUUGUCAUUUUGCAAGCUUGGUGUAUCGAUAAAGUCAUCCUUUAGACUUGUGAUUGCCACGUUGUUUUGUUUCCUCUGUAAAAGGCUCUUGAGUUGUUUUUUGAAUUUUCUUUUUCUGCACGAUUUCCAAACCCUGUACAUCUGCAUUUUGCAUUUUAGCACUUGCACUGUUACUCAGCAGCAGUAACAUGGUAACACUUAAAAUGGUACUCGGGGACCUCCAAAGACUAAACUGGCACGCCUUCAAGGAGCCCAGGGGUAAGUGCACCUGUCGAUGGCAUGGUUUUAAUCCCUCAUUUCACCUGUGAAAGCGAGUUCCUGGUCGUAGGAGGCCUGCGCUGUUGACUCGCCUUUUAUUAACAUGUCUGCGGUACUACACCGGCAAAAGGGUAGUUACUCUACCCGGAAAAAGAAGUGAAAAUUUCAGCUAUUUGGCAAUGAUAAUGUGCUUAAAAGUCUAUUUGGUCAUCUAAAUGCAUUCAUUCUCGAAAUUCUUUUAAACCACAGUUGAAUAAAAAGUUUUGCUGCCACCAACA